rnacentral:rRNA from 2 species
UGAGUAACACGUAGGUGACCUGCCUAUUAGCGGGGGAUAACACGAAGAAAUUCGUGCUAAUACCGCAUACGCAAAGUGAAUUUGGAAGUAACUUUGGAAAGAAUGCCUCUCCUUGGAAGCAUUUACUAAUAGAUGGGCCUGCGUAGCAUUAGCUUGAUGGUGGGGUAACGGCCUACCAUGGCGACGAUGCUUAACUGGUCUGAGAGGAUGAUCAGUCACACUGGAACUGAGACACGGUCCAGACUCCUACGGGAGGCAGCAGUGGGGAAUAUUGCGCAAUGGGCGAAAGCCUGACGCAGCAAUGCCGCGUGAGUGAGGAAGGCCUUCGGGUUGUAAAGCUCUGUCAUAUGGAAAGAAUGGUCAUCGUUCUAACAGGACGGUGAUUUGACGGUACCAUAAAAGGAAGCACCGGCUAACUUCGUGCCAGCAGCCGCGGUAAUACGAAGGGUGCAAGCGUUGUUCGGAUUUAUUGGGCGUAAAGCGCGCGCAGGCGGAUUAUUAAGCCAGAUGUGAAAUCUCGGGGCUCAACCCCGAAACUGCGUCUGGAACUGGUAAUCUAGAAUCUUGGAGGGGGAAGCGGAAUUUCGCAUGUAGGGGUAAAAUCCGUAGAGAUGCGAAGGAACACCAUAGCCGAAGGGGGCUUCCUGGCCAAGUAUUGACGCUGAGGCGCGAAAGCGUGGGGAG